rnacentral:sRNA from 2 species
GCCCCUGUCUUUGGGGAGUAGCCGGCUUCUACCCAGAAGCGCCUGCAUCAACAUUCUCGGUCGCGCAGACCGUGGUGCAGGUAGCCGUUUCGGUUGGCAAGACCAUCGACACACCACGCGACCGGUCGGGCGCGGCGGUGUGUCGUGGUUUUCAGCCCGACCUCGAGCGCCU